AUUACAUGGACUGCCAACUCUACGCACUAAGCCUAUAUUUUUCAAUAAACAAGUCCCGUUCACGGAGGCGUCCUUGGUUGCGUGGUAAAUUGACUUCCGGUAGAUUUUUUUUACGUAUAAAGAAACCAUUCUCGAAGAUUUUUACCACCACUUUUACAGCAAAUCAUGAAUGGAAACUGAAUUGUUAAAGAAGAUGUUACAGAGGAGCAUACUACUUCCACAAACCUGAUUUGAUUGUCACUAACUUUCAAAUUGAAAGGGAUCUACUACAACUGCUCAAGAAUUUCGAGAUUUUACAGCUAAUAGAGGAACAAAUUUUAUCUGCUUCCACUUAGCCAAACAGCAUGGAAAUAUGCUAUUGUAAAGAGUAGAAGAUAUUUGUCAUUUAG